AUUGAACGCUGGCGGCAUGCCUUACACAUGCAAGUCGAACGGUAACAGGUCUUCGGAUGCUGACGAGUGGCGAACGGGUGAGUAAUACAUCGGAACGUGCCUAGUAGUGGGGGAUAACUACUCGAAAGAGUGGCUAAUACCGCAUGAGAUCUACGGAUGAAAGCAGGGGAUCGCAAGACCUUGUGCUACUAGAGCGGCCGAUGGCAGAUUAGGUAGUUGGUGGGAUAAAAGCUUACCAAGCCGACGAUCUGUAGCUGGUCUGAGAGGACGAUCAGCCACGCUGGGACUGGGACACGGCCCAGACUCCUACGGGAGGCAGCAGUGGGGAAUUUUGGACAAUGGGCGCAAGCCUGAUCCAGCAAUGCCGCGUGCAGGAUGGAGGCCUUCGGGUUGUAAACUGCUUUUGUACGGAACGAAAAGCCCUGGGUUAAUACCCUGGGGUCAUGACGGUACCGUAAGAAUAAGCACCGGCUAACUACGUGCCAGCCGCCGCGGUAAAAC
rnacentral:rRNA from 1 species